UGGGGAAUAUUGGACAAUGGGCGCAAGCCUGAUCCAGCAAUGCCGCGUGUGUGAAGAAGGCCCUCGGGUUGUAAAGCACUUUUAUCAGGAGCGAAAUCUGCAAGGCUAAUACCCUUGUAGUCUGACGGUACCUGAGGAAUAAGCACCGGCUAACUCCGUGCCAGCAGCCGCGGUAAUACGGAGGGUGCAAGCGUUAAUCGGAAUUACUGGGCGUAAAGCGUGUGUAGGCGGUUUGUUAAGUCUGUUGUGAAAGCCCCGGGCUCAACCUGGGAAUGGCAAUGGAUACUGGCAAGCUAGAGUGUGAUAGAGGAUGGUGGAAUUCCCGGUGUAGCGGUGAAAUGCGUAGAGAUCGGGAGGAACAUCAGUGGCGAAGGCGGCCAUCUGGAUCAACACUGACGCUGAGACACGAAAGCGUGGGGAGCAAAACAGGAUUAGAUACCCUGGUAGUCCACGCCCUAAAACGAUGCGAACUGGAUGUUGGUCUCAACUCGGAGAUCAGUGUCGAAGCUAACGCGUUAAGUUCGCCGCCUGGGGAGUACGGUCGCAAGACUG
rnacentral:rRNA from 1 species